UCACUAGUUAAGGGUAUUCUUUGCAAAGGUCACUCCCACCUACUCUUGUGGUGACAAAUGACGCAUUGCAUGUGCGACACUUGUCACAACAAGAGGUUUUUGUGCUCUUUUCCUAGAUUCAUUUUCCAAAACGUUUUAUCUUUUGAACCAUGCGUCCAAAUCACGAACCAUUUUCACUGUUGUGUUUCUCGCCUCAAUAUCUUUUAAACUAUAUGCCAUGUUAAUAAGUUUGGGGCACCUACCCCUUCAUGGCUUUGCCGCGCCAGAUAAUGCGCGGUGCCGGCCAGUGAAUGCAGGCGUACCGGCUGGGUGGCGACGACACUGGUUGCUCUUUCAUGCGAUGUCUGAUUUGGACUCCGCGAUUUGCGCCGGGGGGAAGGAGGCUCUUGCUUGACGUGCCGGAGAGGCGGCGAUGCUGACUUCUGCUCCUUGACGCAGUGGCGAGGCAGUGACGCCUGUUGUGCUUUGACCCUGUUGUGCGACAGCGAGGGCGGCGCUGGACAAUGGCUCAUGUGCGACCACUCAAGGAGGAUCACCAUGUGCUGUUGAUACUCCUCGCUUCCGUGAGGAGGCGUGGAAUGAUCUCGCCCUUCUCGGAGGAGCUGACCGCCGUGGAGGAAGACGACCCCGGGCAGUGACAGCAACAAUGCCACGAUCUGUCGGAUUUGAAGCAGAUCCAAAGCCGCCACCUGCAGGCGCGGAGAACCACGACUUCGACUUCGUCAAGGAUGGUGAGUGGAGACGGAGAGUAGAUCGGGGUAGUGCGGAGAGGAGAUGGUGUGGACCGCGGCGAAGCCGUACUUAAAUAGUCAUGGGCAGGGAACGGGUGGGUAAUCGACUUCAUGCGGCGCAUCGGCCGGGGUAGGCUUCUCGGUCGUCAUGUCGGCAUUGAAGCGGCGCAGCCCGCUUGUCCGGUGUCGUCACUUUGACCGGCAUCAAUGCCAUGGAGUCACGUUCGCUCUAAAGCGAUACUGACCAAGAUGAAUGGGCGGCAACUGCUUUCAAGGAGGGUUUCUUGGGCGGAGAAGUUUUGUGGUGGGACUGCAGUGUUGAACAUGUACAUGGUCGUGGCCUAGACGCCAGCAAAGCUCGCCUAAUUUUGCGUUUAGUUUGCGAGAUUUUAAAUAGCCCACACAUCCAUGGACCGAUGGGGUACCGAGUUGGAUGCCCUAAUCACAAUACUAAAUUUUACCUUUUAACAUGAGUAAUGUUUUUCAAAAACAAAAAAUACACUACCACAAUAGGAUCAGUAAAAAGUUUAAUUGAAUUUAUAUUAUAUAAGAGACCUAAAUUAUGAUUUUACACCAAUCCCCAGGUUUCAGGAUGCACAACAGUGCCUCGACCUAUUCUAAGGGGGGGAAAACACCCGCGGACGAGCACAAAAACAUGCCAGCGAACAUAUCUAGAAUAUGCCACUUGUGACAUCCAAUCAUAAGAAACAACGUGUCCUGAGUAUAGUGGGCAGCAUAUCUUCAAAUCAAAUUGAUUCCGACUCGUGUCACUUUCAUAGUAGGUGCACGUGCUACGCAGAGACGGCUUCAAGUUUGCAGCAGCUAAUUUGAAACAAAAGAGUCCCAAAAUUAACCCUUAGUAAUAAUAAUUAAAUUAAAGAAAAUGUUGCAACAUUUCAAACGGAUCGAAAAAGAAAAGUAAAAGUAAAAUACGUACUACAUUUUUUAGCAGGUGGCUCCGAUCCGACAGCCAGCAGCAACCCAACCAGACGGAACGCAGCGAAAAGUGUCCCCCACACAAGACUCACGGUUUGAGCUGCACGCGCGUUGCAACAGCCACAUUUCUUUCUUUCUUCGCACGUCUGCCCCCGCCGGAAAAAAAUCUUAUGUGAGACCCUUUCCAUCGCGUGACACGUGCAGAAACGAAUCUCAAAGCAAGCAAGAUAGUUAGUUAGGGUAUCCCAUUUACCUAAUCCCCUUUUCUUCGCCGCCGCUACCGCUCUCGUCAUCGUCCCCGCCGCCGCCAACGUUCGCUCGUCGUCGACGCCACCGCCACAACUCUCCUGCUCGCUCUGUCAUAGAAGCACCGGAGCUCCAUCCCCGCUGCUAUCCCCCGCCAUCCACGACCACACUCCUCGGCGCCCCGGCCGGAGGCUCGCCCAUGAAGGCGCUGCAUCUUGGCACUAGCCACUGGAUGACAUUCACCGAGACACUGACAACGAGCGUGUUGUUCUGUCGACACUGACGGAAGGCGAUCAACAAGAUGGCAAAAGGAAGAUAGAAGAACCAAAAAAAAAAACUAUCAGCAGAUAGUCUCCGGCUCAAUCUGUUGUUGUGCAUGCCUGUGUGGAACAUGAAUACAUGAUUCAGUGAUUUCUAUAAAUGUCCAUGAGAUGUUGUUUCACCUAGCAAGACAACACGAUCAGGACUAAAGUCAAGUAGCUUUAGGAUAGUUGAUGCUCUGUUAUAUAAAUGAAUUUAUGUACAUUUUGAAUAAAGACUCCUGGUAUUUGCAAAAUUGUUCUCCUAUUUGUGAUAUUUGCAAUCAACCGAAGAAAACAUCCCAGGCCACAUUUUGUAUCAGAAGUUCAGAACAAAAUUCAGAAGAAAAAGAGUUGCCUUUGUUCAGUUUUUACAGUCAAGCAUCAUUACAGAGAACACGCUGAUUGAGUCAUCUACAGGUGCCGAGACGCAGGCAAAGGGUGCAUGCAGCAUGCAUAAUGCGCCGGCUGUACGGCGAGUGGAGGCGCCCACGAACAUCGCCGUGGCCGGCGGGGACAGCCAGCUGGUGCGGUGCCAUGAGCUGGGCCGGCGACGACGUCGUCGUUUCCAGCGGGAUGGAGUGCCCUGAGCAGGGGUGGUGUACCAUGCGUCACACCGGCGGCGAUGUGGCGAGCGGCCGUGGCGGAUCACACCGGCGGAGAUGUGGCGAGCGGCCGUGGCAGUCACAACUGUUGAGUAUAUGUGUUAUGUGCGUAUUGUGUAUUGGGCUCGUCUCCUAGUUUUUUGUAUAGUUAAGGUCCGUGGCCUACCCUGUACAUCAUAUAUACGUGCCUAUGCGUAAGUACAAUCAUAAUCUCAUACAUGGUAUCAGUUUUUUAGGUUUUAA